GCGAGCCCACGUGGUGAUUUGGUCGACCGGCUUGCGGGCCACGUAAAACAACCCGCUAAAAAGGUCCGAGCCGCGUCCGC
rfam:Azospirillum lipoferum 4B main chromosome, complete genome